rnacentral:rRNA from 1 species
GGCGACCGGCGAAAGGGUGCGUAACGCGUGAACAACUUGCCUGUCACAGGGGGAUAACCGUCGGAAACGGCGCCUAAUACCCCGUAACAUAUAUGGGGGCAUCCUUAUAUAUUGAAAGCAGCGAUGCGGUGACAGAUAGGUUCGCGAGACAUUAGCUAGUCGGCGGGGCAACGGCCCACCGAGGCGACGAUGUCUAGGGGUUCUGAGAGGAAGGCCCCCCACACUGGGACUGAGACACGGCCCAGACUCC